AGAAGUACAUUGACUGAAUGCUAAGAUCAUCAGAAGUGAAAGUCAAAAGGAUUGACAAUAAUAUUUGUCUCAUCUUGAAGUUACCACUUCUAGAAGAGAACAACAGCACACAGUGAAAUAGGAGCUACUGUUCGGCCUGCAGACUGGUGAUCUCUCAAAUCUCACAGCAAAAUGUUUUUUUCAGUGCAGCUUGAUUAGUUUAAACCCAAAGUAUAGUUGCUAUUUGCAAUGAUGUUAUUUACAGAGGCUUAAGGCCAAAUACUUGAGGAAAACCCUGCUGUUGCAGGACACAGCUCUUACUUGGUCUGUGUGUGCUGAGGAGGUUUGCAUUGGUCUAGAACCAGUGACCACAUCCUCAGUAAUAUACGGUUGAGAUAGACUUUGCUUCACUUGCCACAAUUAUUCUGUCUUCGGAUAUUUGCUCUCCUGUGCAAAUCCUAGAAACUACUGCUCGUUUGUUGUCCAUUAAACCUUGCAACCAGCUAGUGCAUGAGCAUGGUUUAAGGGAGAGAGGGGAGUGAAGCUGGGGCUGGGAAGGCAGGGUAGGUUUAGUUAUCAGCUGCUGUGAAAGGGAUGGGGCCUGUACAGAUAAGGUGCCUCUCACGAGCAUUUUCAUUUGGAUGAGAAAAACAGUUGUCCUGGUUGCGCCAGAUAAUUGCAGUUUGAUGAAGCUCAGGGUCUGGCAAACUGGUCUCCCCUUGGGGGCACUGUGCUGGGAGAGAAGAUCCCCACGAGAACCUAAGGUUCUCCAAAUAGUGGUGGAUGCUCAGGCUGUGGCUCUGAGCGGGAGCCAUCUGCAAGUAAAACAUACUGCAAGCUGACCAGUGUUGCUCUUAUGCUUCUCUAUAUGCUGACGUAGAUAUAGCCUUUACCCUCUAUGUCUGUGUCACAGUCAAAACACUCUACUAUUGCUUAUUUGUCAAGAUCAUAAAGAUUAAGUUAAUUUAUAUUUCAAAGGGGCCCUCCAAAGGAACUGUCUUUGUCAUGAUGUGAUUAUCAGGAAGGCCAAAGUCUUUAGUCUCUGCCCUGUGACUUCUUGAGGACGUGAGGCUGCCUCUCCACUGAGAACCAACUCAUUCCUUUUCUCUCAAGCUUUCUUAUUUAAUAUCCUUGUCCUGAGUCCGGUGUAUGCUAAUUUGUUACUAACUGGUGAGGAUUAAUGCAGAGGAAAUAUAAUGCUGUGAGGUUACAUGACAGUCUUGGGCUUGGUUGUCAGAAGCCACUGUAACCUUUCGUUCUCUUCAGUCAGUAUCGCCACAGCUGUGAUUUCCAAGAGGCAACUCGGAGGACUUCCAGCCACCAGGGUCAGUCUCACUGGCACUGCCCUACUGGCGUGCCCCUAGUGGAACUAUGCUGCAGGUCACUGCAUAUCAAAUGGGGAUGAUCCACGCUCAGUAAAAGCAAGGCUGCUUGAUGCCGGCGAGAAACAUGUGGCUGUCCCACACAUUGCCUGAAAUUCACAAAAGGAAUCAUUGGUACUGCUGAUUUCAGGUGUCUUCUAUUAAUAAUGAAAAGAAAAAUUGAGCGUUUCCUUUGUACAAUUUGUAAUGCUCUGCUAAUCUGUGUAAUCUGCAGCUAGAGUCCAUUUGUGCUGCGUCUGCAACAAUUUCCCUGCUUUGUCAUUUCCAUCGCAAUACGUAGGUGUUGUCUAUUUUGCUUGUAAGGUCAUCUCAGGCAGUUCUGGUUUGAAAUAUUUGUACUGCGAGCUUUCCCCAAACAUGUGAUAGUUUCUAUUGGCUGCUCUUCUUGUUUGGUUUCUUUUUAUCUCCUUUAUGGGAGGGGAAGUGGAUGAGCUGGGAGGAAAGAUGAAAUGUCCUUUGUGUGCAGUCAGAGACAAGUAUCAUCCCCACACAGUGAUGAGAUCUACCCUCACCUUCAAAUGUUUCUGCUCCAAGCUGCAACUCACAUUUACAUCCACCUCUACAGACAUAGAACUGCACAAGGAACUCCCAGUUGCUGUAUAAUGAAUUGGAUCCUAACCCCUCCUUGAGAGAUCAACCUUACAAGAUGCUCUUUGUCCAUGUCCCUGCAUAUCUGCUGGUCCAGGCCCACUACCAGCCCACUUCUCUGCUGAUGUGAGGAAACCUAGCUCCAGGGAGACACCAUCAGCCACACUAACAUGUAGCACACGUGUGACAUCUCUUCUAACAAAAAUAUGGCUAGACAGUGUUUUAUGUGCCUGGCAUACAUAACUAUGUCGCUGUGUCAGUGCACUGAUGAACUUCAUAUCAGAGAAGUACAGAGAGUUAGCAAGAAGACAAGAAGUGGUAAAACAAAUGAACAUAGCCAAGCUGCUAUGUUUUAUGGCAGUGCAUGAGCAUGUCCAAAGCAUUUCUUUAAAAACAUGCUGUGCUCUUACUUGUGCCAUGAGCCCCCAUUCUUAGUUAACCUUCAGGCGUUUAAGGUCAGAAGGCACCAUCUGAGCCAUCAAUUCUGCUGUACGUGUAGGAGACUGGGUCAUGAGAAAGGAGAAGUGAAUGAAUCUCAUGAAGACAGAAAGGAAAUACCUCUAGACUCAAGAUAGGAUUCAGAUGGGAUUGCUGAGGACUACCAGAGUUCCCUCUUUGCGUUUCACUUCAACUGAGAUGGAGUUCCCCUUUCUUGCACUGAGUGUUAGGUCUGCGGGCAGCCAGGGAAACGUCAGCUGCAGACUUGAUGUGAUGAAGUGCAGAAGUCUAAUGUAGCAAAGAGAAAGGAUGAGGCUAGAGGGGAAGAGGUUAAUGAGUAGAGAGGGACACAAACCUGCAUGAUAUAAAAGCCUGGAGGAUUUAAGGGGCAAGCUAAACAUGAACAGGAAGAUGACAGAGCUGCAUUUCUAAGUACCUGAGGGAAGGCAGGUAGUUGUGUUAGUUGUGGCUGUCACAGCUAACAGAUGCAUUGAGGCACAAGCAAGGAUGUCUACAGCAGCCAGCAGGAAACAUUUGACAGACCAGGAGAUUAGAUUACCAUCAAGGUAAGAGAGGAGAAAGCCUGAGUUUGUGGAUAUUUAUGCAUAGCUAUGGUAUUGCUAUGUAAGCUGCAAGAGGAAACCCUUAACAACAGAUUCCCAAAAGCUUGCUAUGAGAUGUCACUUCUGUCAGGGGAAUAAUACCAAGUAGGCUGCAAGCAAAUAAUAAAACCACCUCAUUUUAUUAAGCUGAACCAAUUCAUGCUGGUUUUAUGUCUUCCUAUUGCCCUCUUUUUCUAACCAAAGCUACUUCAUUAACUAAAGAUACAAUUACUCUGCUUGAUUCAGUUGUCCUCAGUGCGGAAUUGUCUCCCAUGUUUGAGGUGUUCAACUGCAGGCUGAGUUGAAUCCUCAAGCUUAUCCAGUCUUGGAAAUUUUAAGAGAUGGGGCUGGCGGGAUGGCUGCCCAUCUGCUCCUCCCCGAGCCCCAGGCAGGACCAACUGACUAAAUGCUUUUUGCACUCUCAGAACACUUGGAACUCUACAGCUCUCCAGGCAACAUACUGCAGUGCUUACCUAUCCUUGCUCUUGGAAGGUAUUUUUAGUGUAGCUCCUCUCCUCUAACUUAAGAUCGUUACUCUAGUACCCCAAAUGGAAUUGGGACUGAAGUUACUCCCUUCCUGAUUUAUAAGAUGACCACUGCUAUGUCUUCCUCACCUCUACACUUAGGUAAAGUCUUAUCGACAUUCUUCUGGGUUUUGACUGUUCAGCCUUUCCCUUGGCACCUUUUCUGCACCACUAACUACUAUUGCUCUCCUUUGAUCUUUCUGCUAUAAGCUCACCAUUUCCCUGAACUGCAGUGCCAAAACUGCACAGUUCAAAUGAAGUCUUCACAGCAUAGACAACUGGGAAAGAAUUAUUUCCUGUUUCUUGCAGACUGAACUUCUGUUUGUACACCUCAUUACAACACUUUCAUUUUUUACUGCGGCAUGACCGUGCUCAUUCAUGUUGAGCUGUCAUCCCUAGAUCUUCUGCAGAACUGCUGCUGCGCCGGUUGUUUCCCAGCUGUCUUUUAGUACUUGAUGACGCCUACACAACUGCAGAGCUCUGUCUUGUCCCUGCUCAAUGGUGUUUGUUUUCCCCAGCAUUCCUCCAAUUUGUCAAGAUUGUUUUGCAUUCUCAUCCUGUUCUCCAAAGUGCUUGUUCUCCACGGUGUCCUGUGCUAAUUUAAUAAGUGUUCCCUACUCUCAUUUCUUCAAAGAUAUUAAUGAAAAUACCGUACACUGUCAGACACAAAACAGAUGGCUUCAGACUUCAUUUGAUACGUACCGCCAGUUUGACAGUGAAGCAUUUAUAGCUGCUUUUAGUUUGGUUUUCCAACCAGCUGUACACUCCUCUAAUAGCAGUUUCUUCUAAACCACGUUUCUUUACUUAGUUUAUGAAAGUGUCAGGUGAGACAGUAGCAAAAGCUUUACUAAAAUCAAGAUCUAAGACCUACUACAGAAGGAAAUUAGAUUGAUUGGAUGUGAUUUGUUUUUGUCAAAUCAGUGCUUGCUGUUCCUCAUCUGCUUGCUGUCAUCUAGGUGCUGGAAAACAGCUUAACCAAUUUCCACUUCCAGCAUUUUCCAGGAAUUGAAAUUAAGCUGCUUGCUCUCUUGGGCACCUUUGAGUAGAGACCAAAGGAUGAAAGUAACAACCAUUUGUGUCUUCGGCAUCGUCACUGAGUAACUCCUCCUCAUGAAACUCAGGUCUUUCUUUGGCCCUCCUUUUACAUAAACUUCACACCCACUGCUUGUUGCAUCACCUAUAUCUUUUUCAUUUUAUUCCUCCUCUUAGUAACAUGACCUAGUUUGACUUUCUGUCUGCUUCCUCUGCACAUCUGAAACUAAUGAAGAGCUCAUGAUUUAAUCACCUUGUACCUUGUGGGCCUCCUCUAGGGCUUGUGCUAAGUUUCCCUGCUACCAAGGAGUUCCCAAGUAGCUCUUUACUAUUUCUCCUGUGAUUGUGCCUUCCACACAACUUCCUUAGAGCACUGUUAACUCUUCAACUGUCCUUUCUGCCUCAGAUUUGCCACUUGAAGGUCACUCUCACCCCAGCUGCCUUUCACCUUUGCCCGCAGACCCAAGUUUCCUGUAUAAGUCAGAAUCAAAUACUGCAGAGCAUUUAGUCAGGAAGAAGCUAAAUUAAAGAGAUGACAGCUGCGGUCAGCUCAGGGAAGAGCACAGAAAGAGCACAAGCACAGAGCUAAACAGAUAUGCCCCCACAUAUUUAGCACUUAGUUGUGUCAGGAAAAAUUAAUAUUAACUCUCACAAUUAUCUGCCCCCGUCUAUGAACUUGUCAUUAAAUUCAGGAGAGUUGGCUAACAGUGAUGGAAACAUUGUUAUUUGUGUAAAACUUGUGCAGUGCAAGACUUAUCAUUGCUGUUUGUCUGUCUUUCUGAUGGUAUCUAUUAUAUCUUUGCACAAUGAGGAGGCUUAGACUUUGCAAACAUUUGGAAAUUCUGUGUAAGAAGCAUGCAGUUACCUCUUUCGUUCAAUUAAGAACUGACAUUACAGUGUGUUUCCAGUGAUGGGGGUUCAGGCCUGCAAGCACAGCAUCAAGAAGCCCUCACUGAGCCAGAGCUUGCCACGUUCCAUGCUCUUUAAGCACUGUUGAGCAGGGCCUCAGCUUCUCAGCAGCCAACCAAGACACUCUAGGCCUUCAGGGCCAGCUCAAUCUUUCCCAGACAGCUUCCUCCUGUGCAUGGUGUGCAUUGUUCCUGGUAAUAUCUUACUCUAGCUACAUUAAUAGUAGAAAAGCUCUACCUAAAUGUACCUUCCUGCUUAAAACUCCCACUUAGAAAUUUGCUUUGGGAGCUGCUUGACCUCUACUUCUUACUGCCAUCUAUCCAAACUAAUCUGACUCUUCCAGGCCAGGGCUGUGCCCAUGCCAAUCUCCCUGUGCAGUCCAGAAAAAGCCUACCUGAGCAGUCUGAUGUCAAGUUGGCUUUUGGCUGCCAUUCAUAGCUCGAACAUGUUCUUGCAGAAGUCCAUUUACGUGCUGAGUGAUUGGUCCGUGAGCACAGUCGGCACGGCAGUCAGUAACUCUGCUGUGAGUUAUUUUAAUGAUGUUAUUGAUUUCAUUAGCUCCAUUUUAUUUUGCUUCAUUACAUCAACUCUUGGCGCCAGGGUUAAGUGGCAGCUAAUUAGUUCAGCAUAAAUGAUGUUUCUUUAUGGGGCAGCCAGGACCAAAGAGAACUGAAGCUUCCAGGGAUGUUUGCCCAGAAGCUGGGAUGGUUUGUAAAGGAAUUGUUAACUUUGUUUUAACAUCCCAAACAAUCACAUUAGUACAACUUUAUAACUUACUCCACUCUAUGCACUUGAUAUCACCUCACGAGAAGAAAAUGUUACAGAAGAGCUAUGGUGAUAUAACAAUAGCUUGUAUUCUUGCAGACAGUCCAAUUUCUUUAUCUAGAAGUUGGAGUUUGAUAUGUCAUCCAAUGAUUGGCCUUUGAGUCAUUCGAAGCUCCCAUAAAAAGAAGAAAAAUAAAUUUACAGACUGCUGUGGUAGGGUCAUAGUCUAACUGAGCAUCCACGGCAUCUGCUGGAGAACUCUCCAGACGGUGCUCUUGGAAUUUGGGUCAGACUUUAUAAUGCUCCAAACAAGCUGUGAAGAAAGCUGCGGGAAGAUCUGAGAGACAUCCCCAUGAGGACGUAGAUGGGUAAUUAUUUAUUUUUUAAGAACAUACCUAGAGGCUUAGGCAACUGGCAGACUUAAGUUAGCCAACGGUAUUUGGGUUAAAAGAAGUUACACUGCUGGCAAGCAGAGAAUCCCCUGAAAGUACAGUUCAUCUUUCCUGAAGUAAAAUCAAAAGUAGCAGCACUACCUCAUCAUUUCAAGCUUCCUAAAACAAAAUACCUAUUAAAAGUAAUUCAUCUCAGGUAAAAACGUGUUGUAACUGAUAGGCUUUCCAUUGCCCAUCUGAGAAGACCUACUUGCUCAAAGCCCUGCACCUAGUUGUGGCCUGACUCAAGGCUCCUGUUGGCUUUGGUGAGAACUGACCAAAAGCACUAUGUUGGACCCCACUUGUCAUGCUCUUGGCAUUUUUGUAGAAGGAGCUGGAAGGACAGCUCACCCCAGGUUGUGUCGCAGCAGCAAAAAUAAUGUUUGCAUCUGCAAGAGAAGCUGCAGUCAACAACAUAGUGCCAACAGUCUCCAAGUGAAUGUAGUUGGUGUGCUUCUGUUUCACUGAACUUUUAUCUACCAUAAAUCAUGAAUGGGAGUCCCUGUGCAAAGUGGGUCUUCACCCCACUAUUUGCAUGCUAUUUCUUUGUCUAAUGGCAAUGUGGCUGCAUUUUUUUGCGCCCUGAACUGUCCAGCUUUUCCUUCCUCCUUCCCUUCCUAGCCCCUUCUCUCUUCAUUUCUAUUCCAGUAUGUUUUAACAAGAUGACCUAUUGCAUACCAGUAUCUGGGUAAAGACUACCUCUUUGUAUAAAACCUGUCAAACCUUUUGCUUCAUCAUAACACCAUAAAACCACCACUGGAAAAUAAAACAAUAAAGCAGAGGUGUAUGAGGGGUUUCUCAAGUAAGUUAUUUGUGUUGAGCACAUGUACAAAUACUUAUUUUACUUUUUCUAUCAUAGGUCAGCUAAUGGAUAUUUUCCUUAGUUGGAAUAUUGGAAAAUAAAAAUAAACUCAGGCAGUCCUGAGAUCUGUCCUGGGUGGCACAGGCAGGGUGCAGGUGGCUUGUUAACCCACUGCUUCUCAUGGCACA